GAUGAACGCUGGCGGCGUGCCUAAUACAUACAAGUCGAGCGAACAGACGAGGAGCUUGCUCCUCUGACGUUAGCGGCGGACGGGUGAGUAACACGUGGAUAACCUACCUAUAAGACUGGGAUAACUUCGGGAAACCGGAGCUAAUACCGGAUAAUAUAUUGAACCGCAUGGUUCAAUAGUGAAAGACGGUUUUGCUGUCACUUAUAGAUGGAUCCGCGCCGCAUUAGCUAGUUGGUAAGGUAACGGCUUACCAAGGCAACGAUGCGUAGCCGACCUGAGAGGGUGAUCGGCCACACUGGAACUGAGACACGGUCCAGACUCCUACGGGAGGCAGCAGUAGGGAAUCUUCCGCAAUGGGCGAAAGCCUGACGGAGCAACGCCGCGUGAGUGAUGAAGGCCUUCGGAUCGUAAAACUCUGUUAUUAGGGAAGAACAAAUGUGUAAGUAACUAUGCACGUCUUGACGGUACCUAAUCAGAAAGCCACGGCUAACUACGUG
rnacentral:rRNA from 1 species